UCUAAGAAUUAUCAAAUAACUCUUCAUUUAAUUCGGAUUGUGGACUCAGACUUGAAACCUGUCUGAAUAAAUAAAUUGCACUGAAUUUUCAGUGCCAAAGUAUCUCAUCAUCGUUGUGGCGGCGCGCGUGCGGCGGAGACAAUCACUAAAACCCACCAGAAUGCUGUGGUAACUUUUCGAAGUAAUUUUACUUACAAAAAACUUUCUGUACGAAAAUCAAAAGCAGUAUUGAAUUGAAAUCAAAAGUCACAAUAAAUUUUCAGCAUCUUAGUGCUUACUUUCAAAUGUUGUGAAUGCAAACUUUCAAGACAGUAACCAUGACACGCAUGAAAAAUGAAAAUUUCAAAAACUUCUACAACUUUUACAACAUUUCCAACAAAAAGGAUAAGGAAUUUAGGUCAAAGUCCCGGACAGACUAAUGAAAAUUACUUCCCUUCUUCACCCGAAUUAUCAGUCCAGACAUAAUUCCGUUUGGCUCAUUUUAAGUUUUCUCAUUUCCUCAUUUGUUCAUGCUCGACACAUAAACCAAAAAAAAGGCCUAUGCUACGCAUGACAUCACUCUAUCCUCCAACAUCAACGACUUUUACAUAACCAUUAUGGAAAAGCAUCCCUAAGUGGUCCAUUCUGGAUCCUUAAU